UGGCAGGGUCUGGGGAAGCGGCGGCAGGCGCCAUGUCUGGCCGCGAAGGUGGCAAGAAGAAGCCACUGAAACAGCCCAAGAAGCAGGCCAAGGAGAUGGACGAGAUAAGGCUUUCAAGCAGAAACAAAAAGAGGAGCAGAAGAAACUCGAGGAGCUAAAAGCGAAGGCCGCGGGGAAGGGGCCCUUGGCCACAGGUGGAAUUAAGAAAUCUGGCAAAAAGUAAGCUGUUCCUUGUGCCUGAGGAGAUGGUGACCCUUUAUUUCAUCUGUAUUUAAACCUCUCUAUUCCCUGCCAUAACAUCUUUUGCCACGUAUAGCUGGAAUUAAGUGUUGUCUUGGAGCUGUUGUACAUUUAAGAAUAAACUUUUGUAAAAAAAAAAAAAAAAAAUCUUACAGUGGCUCAUCAUCUCUUUAGUUGUUUUCACUAAGUCAUUCCUACCAUAACUGUGAAUUUAAAGUAAAACCAGCUCAGAAUCUUGCCAGAGUCUGUUCUUUGGUCCUUGUUCUACCCUAAACUUUGUAUCACCUGAAAUUAAACCAACUCAUUUGAAAGGAUGGCGUUCUUGUGUGGUUGUAUACCUGACAGAAUACCUUACAUGAGUUUAGUGGAAGAAUUUGCACUUUUUUUUGGUGGGGGAGGGGG
rnacentral:lncRNA from 1 species